rnacentral:rRNA from 1 species
UACGGAGGGUGCAAGCGUUACUCGGAAUCACUGGGCGUAAAGCGCGCGCAGGCGGGCUGAUAAGUUGGAUGUGAAAGCCUACGGCUUAACCGUAGAACUGCAUCCAAAACUGUCAGUCUAGAGUCUGGGAGGGGAAGAUGGAAUUAGUGGUGUAGGGGUAAAAUCCGUAGAGAUCACUAGGAAUACCAAAAGCGAAGGCGAUCUUCUGGAACAGUACUGACGCUGAGGCGCGAAAGCGUGGGGAGCAAACAGGAUUAGAUACCCUGGUAGUCCACGCCCUAAACGAUGAAUGUUAGUCGUCGGGUAGCUAGUCUAUUCGGUGAUGCAGCUAACGCAUUAAACAUUCCGCCUGGGGAGUACGGUCGCAAGAUUAAAACUCAAAGGAAUAGACGGGGACCCGCACAAGUGGUGGAGCAUGUGGUUUAAUUCGAAGAUACGCGAAGAACCUUACCUGGCCUUGACAUUGAUAGAAUUCUGUAGAGAUACGGAAGUGCCCUUCGGGGAGCUUGAAAACAGGUGCUGCACGGCUGUCGUCAGCUCGUGUCGUGAGAUGUUGGGUUAAGUCCCGCAACGAGCGCAACCCUCGUCACUAGUUACUAACGGUUCGGCCGAGGACUCUAGUGAGACUGCCUUCGCAAGGAGGAGGAAGGUGAGGACGACGUCAAGUCAUCAUGGCCCUUACGGCCAGGGCGACACACGUGCUACAAUGGGUAGGACAAUGAGACGCGAUACCGCGAGGUGGAGCAAAUCUAUAAACCUACUCUCAGUUCGGAUUGUACUCUGCAACUCGAGUGCAUGAAGCUGGAAUCACUAGUAAUCGUAGAUCAGCCAUGCUACGGUGAAUACGUUCCCGGGUCU